rnacentral:lncRNA from 1 species
GGUUACUCUACCCAUUACUCUAAGUUACACAUACCUAUCUGCACAUUCAGAUUCAUGUCAAUUAACACAAGGACACUAGGUGCUGGAGUACCAUGCCAUCAAGAUAGGAAUGAGAUGUAUCAGGAUGCUUAGACUCAGUGUGUUGCAAAUAAUAAUUGCUUUUAAGGUUUUAGAAUGUUGUUACAGAUCCAAAUCCCGGAUCUAUAAUGGUCAGGAGCAAAGCCAUAGAAAGCUUCGCUGCAGUACACCAUGCAUUUGUUGUAGCAUGUGCGUCAGGUCCAACUAAUUGUAGUGCACGGGCCCAUAAAAUUGACUAAGGCAAAGCCAACGUGAGAACCUAGCGGGAUGUGGCCUUUGAGUCAACAAUGCCCAUUAGGCACCUACGCUUAGAUUUUAAUGGGAGGCUACGAGUGGAGGAGGCAAGAUUUUAGUUGCGGCUGUAGCCUACCUUUCUCCUCUCCAUGCUAAAAAAUAGAGAAAAAAGGAGCACUACUGGCUUGUGCAACUAUGAAAAAGAUCUGGCACCAAGAUGAUUAUUGGAGCACUGCUUCAGGGUACGGGGAGAAAACUCUAGUCAUGGACAUUAUUUGCUAGGAUCAGCAGCGAUGAACUUACAUUGUUUCCUUGUUGAAGGUGUUGUCACCUUGUUGUUGUGUAGGCCGACAUUGGUUGUUCUCGGCAACCAGGGUGAAAAUCCUAGUGCAGACCCUUUCGGCCUAACAUGGCAGUGACAAUGCUAGGACAUUUAUUCCUUCUUCGAGACAUUGUUGCGGAAGAAGUUGACUUUGGUAUUGGUGUUAAUUUCAUUUACUGUAAUGCUUUGCCCAUGGUUGCUUUUGUUUUGUACUCUG